CAGUAGCCGCGGUAAUACGUAGGGUGCAAGCGUUAAUCGGAAUUACUGGGCGUAAAGCGUGCGCAGGCGGUUAUAUAAGUCAGAUGUGAAAUCCCCGGGCUCAACCUGGGAACCGCAUUUGAGACUGUAUGGCUAGAGUGUGUCAGAGGAGGGUAGAAUUCCACGUGUAGCAGUGAAAUGCGUAGAUAUGUGGAGGAAUACCGAUGGCGAAGGCAGCUCCCUGGGAUAACACUGACGCUGAUGCACGAAAGCGUGGGGAGCAAACAGGAUUAGAUACCCCUGUAGUCCCUGUCUCUUAUAC
rnacentral:rRNA from 1 species